UCGCUCUGGCUGAAACCAGGCUGUGACUUUAUUGGUUGGUUAAAAAUAGCGGCUACUCAACCAAGCGACGGUAACUAUAGCAACAUUGUCUUGAAAGACCGUGGAGUAUAGACCAUGACAUGUUGAGGGACAUAUUUCACGACUAGUAUUCCUUUGCCCGAGUUAUCGACUCCCUUUUAUCAACUUCACUUAACAUAUGUUUUGUUCCAUUAAAAACGUUUAUAUAUGCAUUAUGUGUACUUUCUAUGAUGUUGAUCUCAUCUUUUUGUGGCACUUAUAUUUUCAGUUGAUGUGCAUGUUCCUCAAGAUUUCCCAUUGGCUGUAGUUGCGGGUGUUGUGGUCUCUGUCGUAGCAGUCGUAGCAGUGGUUGUUGCUGCGUACUUCUACGGGAAAUGGAAGCAUCAGAAGGCGAAGGUCAGCGCAUCUAACACCAAUGUCCAGGAAACCUCAACAGCAGGAAAACACACAGCAAAUAUCAGGUUCAAACCCGGUCCUCCAUGUUCAGCUGGAGAGGCAUGGACCCAUAACACCAACCUAACUGACUUUAGUAAGGGCGGUUCAGUUUGGUGUGCCACACCGAUUCCUCCCCAAGCUACAGAACCUCCACCUCCAUACAGUCGGUUAUCUGUCCCUGGGACUACUGACGCCUUCAAUACGUCCACGGGUCAUUGCGGAGCUGAUGGUGACAUGACAAGCUACGGACAGGGCAGUACGGAUGUUGGAACACGUGGUGGGCUAGGAAAAGAGUUCGGGACAGACACAGAAAGGUCAGAUCGAGAUACGGUGUCAAGGUCAUCUGGAGGACAAUCCCCACGAGGAAGUUCUACAGGAUUCUGGAAAUGGAAGACGUACCUGUGAACUGAGUUUUCACUUCGCUGACAUGAACGUUGAUAGAAGGAAUUCCAUAUCCAUGUUUAACAUGGACCCAAUAUAAAAUGCUAAUUUUGUCCGGACAGAAAACUGUUCAGAGAACUGGACUGGAAAUAAUCCAUCUGUAACUUUUGUUUAGUCAGAGUGAAAACAAACUGUACAUAACCCAAACAUUAGAAAUUA